rnacentral:rRNA from 1 species
GAUGAACGCUGGCGGCGUGCCUAAUACAUGCAAGUCGAACGCAUAGCGAAAGGUGCUUGCACCUUUCAAGUGAGUGGCGAACGGGUGAGUAACACGUGGACAACCUGCCUCAAGGCUGGGGAUAACAUUUGGAAACAGAUGCUAAUACCGAAUAAAACUUAGUGUCGCAUGACACAAAGUUAAAAGGCGCUUCGGCGUCACCUAGAGAUGGAUCCGCGGUGCAUUAGUUAGUUGGUGGGGUAAAGGCCUACCAAGACAAUGAUGCAUAGACGAGUUGAGAGACUGAUCGGCCACAUUGGGACUGAGACACGGCCCAAACUCCUACGGGAGGCUGCAGUAGGGAAUCUUCCACAAUGGGCGAAAGCCUGAUGGAGCAACGCCGCGUGUGUGAUGAAGGCUUUCGGGUCGUAAAGCACUGUUGUAUGGGAAGAACAGCUAGAAUAGGAAAUGAUUUUAGUUUGACGGUACCAUACCAGAAAGGGACGGCUAAAUACGUG